CCUACGGGUGGCAGCAGUGGGGAAUAUUGGGCAAUGGGCGCAAGCCUGACCCAGCAACGCCGCGUGAAGGAAGAAGGCUUUCUGGUUGUAAACUUCUUUUCUGAGGGACGAAGAAAGUGACGGUACCUCUGAAAUAAGCCACGGCUAACUACGUGCCAGCAGCCGCGGUAAUACGUAGGUGGCAAGCGUUAUCCGGAUUUAUUGGGUGUAAAGGGCGUGUAGCCGGGAAAGCAAGUCAGAUGUGAAAUCUCAGGGCUCAACCCUGAGCCUGCAUUUGAAACUGUUUUUCUUGAGUGCUGGAGAGGUGAUCGGAAUUCCGUGUGUAGCGGUGAAAUGCGUAGAUAUACGGAGGAACACCAGUGGCGAAGGCGGAUGGCUGGACAGUAACUGACGCUGAGGCGCGAAAGCGUGGGGAGCAAACAGGAUUAGAUACCCCUGUAGUC
rnacentral:rRNA from 1 species